rnacentral:rRNA from 1 species
UACGUAGGGAGCAAGCGUUGUCCGGAAUCAUUGGGCGUAAAGCGCGCGUAGGUGGCCUCAUAAGUCCGCUGUGAAAGUCAAAGGCUCAACCUUUGAAAGCCGGUGGAUACUGUGAGGCUAGAGUACGGAAGAGGCGAGUGGAAUUCCUGGUGUAGCGGUGGAAUGCGCAGAUAUCAGGAGGAACACCGGUGGCGAAGGCGGUGGUCUGGGCCGGAACUGACGCUGAGGAGCAAAGCGUGGGAGCGGAACAGG